rnacentral:rRNA from 1 species
GUGCCAGCCGCCGCGGUAAUUCCAGCUCCAAUAGCGUAUAUUAAAGUUGCUGCAGUUAAAAAGCUCGUAGUUGGAUUUCUGGCUUGAUAUAUUUUGCCGGCCACGGUUUCGUGUGUUAGUGCUUGGAUAUUCUGGCCAUCCUUCCAAUGGCUAUUCAUCCUUCUUCAUUGAGGUGGUGAGUGGUAUUGGAUCUUUUACUUUGCAAAAAAUUAGAGUGUUUCAAGCAGGCUUUAUGCUAUGAAUACAUUAGCAUGGAAUAAUAAUUUAGGACUUCGGUUCUAUUUUGUUGGUUUCUAGGACUGAAGUAAUGAUUGAUAGGGAUAGUUGGGGGUGCUAGUAUUCAGCGGCCAGAGGUGAAAUUCUCGGAUUCGCUGAAGACUAACUUAUGCGAAAGCAUUCACCAAGGAUGUCUUCUUUAAUCAAGAACGAAAGUUGGGGGAUCGAAGACGAUCAGAUACCGUCGUAGUCUCAACCAUAAACUAUGCCGACUAGGGAUGAGUGAACGUUGCAUUUUCGACUUCAUUCGCACCUUAUGAGAAAUCAAAGUCUU